ACGGGCUUGCGUCGGCGUCGCCCGGUGCUGGGCGGUUGUGGGUGCUGGGCGUUUGUGUGUCCUGCGGCGGAUUCGCCCGUGAAAGCGUUCUUAGGUGCGCCUGGUGGUUGGUUUGCGGAAAUGAUUACGUGGGCACAGAAGACAAACUAGAAGGAAGUGAAAUGUUACGUAGUUGUACGUCUUACAAGAGUUUUUAACCCCCGGAAUGCGGCUGCUUGCAGAGGUACAGACUGAGUUCCCCAAAUGCCUGCAAUGACCAGGGCUGGGCCAGGCCAAAGCCAGGAAACUUCCACAAAGAAUGGAUGCCUGGUGGGAGUUAGAGGCCAAAGGAAAAGCCAUGUGGUCUGUGCAAGAAAGGACAAGAAGCAUGGUGGUGCUGGUGCAAGACCAGAAAGCUAAGAAACAGAGCAGGAGAAUGUGGAACAGCCCAUUUGGGUCCCAGCCAGAAACAUCAAGCCUGCAACGGACAGCCAACCAGAACCAGCUGAACAAGACCGAGACUCUGCCUUGUUAGGCACCUGCCCUAUCAUCCUACCCUGAGAAACUGCCCGUAGCCAUGCCUGUUACUGUUUUGUACCCCACUAGCUCUGGUCAGCCACUCAAAUGGCCCACAGCCUGUGUGCGGUCAUGCCAUUCCUGAUAACCAUUAUUCCUCAUUCCUACCCCCAUCUGAGCAAGCAAUCCUGUGGUCUCUCGUUUUGAGCGCUGGUUAGUCAAUGAUGGGUAAGAUCCCCUGGGGGACAACCUAAGACAGGCACAGCUGCAUAUGGAGACCACAUGGAAACGGUGUCAACAAUGGUAUGGUCAAGAAUCAUGCCUCCCGUUGCUCAAAAAUAAACAAAAAGGGGGAAAUGUGGUGGAAUGAGAAGGUCAUGCCAAGGUGGCCACUGGCAAGCGAGUGUCAGUUACUCAGGAAUGGCUUUGAAACCCACCUGGCAACGGAGCCUGCCUGGCAACAGGCUGUGAUUGGUUGGGGCAUAGACCGCCCUUGACCAGAUUGGCUGGUCUUGGCUAUAUAAGAUGUUGUUCCAACUGUAAUAAACGAGUCUGCGGGCUGCUCGCUUCAAGCCUGCUUUCACCUGA